GACGAACGCUGGCGGCAUGCUUAACACAUGCAAGUCGAACGGAAAGGCCCUGCUGUUUUGGGGUGCUCGAGUGGCGAACGGGUGAGUAACACGUGAGUAACCUGCCCUUGACUUUGGGAUAACUUCAGGAAACUGGGGCUAAUACCGGAUAGGAGCUCCUGCUGCAUGGUGGGGGUUGGAAAGUUUCGGCGGUUGGGGAUGGACUCGCGGCUUAUCAGCUUGUUGGUGGGGUAGUGGCUUACCAAGGCUUUGACGGGUAGCCGGCCUGAGAGGGUGACCGGCCACAUUGGGACUGAGAUACGGCCCAGACUCCUACGGGAGGCAGCAGUGGGGAAUAUUGCACAAUGGGCGGAAGCCUGAUGCAGCAACGCCGCGUGCGGGAUGACGGCCUUCGGGUUGUAAACCGCUUUCGCCUGUGACGAAGCGUGAGUGACGGUAAUGGGUAAAGAAGCACCGGCUAACUACGUG
rnacentral:rRNA from 1 species